rnacentral:rRNA from 1 species
GGUUAAGCGACUAAGCGUACACGGUGGAUGCCCUGGCAGUCAGAGGCGAUGAAGGACGUGCUAAUCUGCGAUAAGCGUCGGUGAGGUGAUAUGAACCGUUAUAACCGGCGAUUUCCGAAUGGGGAAACCCAGUGUGUUUCGACACACUAUCAUUAACUGAAUCCAUAGGUUAAUGAGGCGAACCGGGGGAACUGAAACAUCUAAGUACCCCGAGGAAAAGAAAUCAACCGAGAUUCCCCCAGUAGCGGCGAGCGAACGGGGAGGAGCCCAGAGCCUGAAUCAGUGUGUGUGUUAGUGGAAGCGUCUGGAAAGGCGCGCGAUACAGGGUGACAGCCCCGUACACAAAAAUGCACAUAUUGUGAGCUCGAUGAGUAGGGCGGGACACGUGGUAUCCUGUCUGAAUAUGGGGGGACCAUCCUCCAAGGCUAAAUACUCCUGACUGACCGAUAGUGAACCAGUACCGUGAGGGAAAGGCGAAAAGAACCCCGGCGAGGGGAGUGAAAAAGAACCUGAAACCGUGUACGUACAAGCAGUGGGAGCCUCUUAAUGGGGUGACUGCGUACCUUUUGUAUAAUGGGUCAGCGACUUAUAUUCUGUAGCAAGGUUAACCGAAUAGGGGAGCCGAAGGGAAACCGAGUCUUAACUGGGCGUUAAGUUGCAGGGUAUAGACCCGAAACCCGGUGAUCUAGCCAUGGGCAGGUUGAAGGU